rnacentral:tRNA from 1 species
CGAAAUUGGUAGACGCUACGGACUUAAAAUCCGUCGACUUUUAAAAUCGUGAGGGUUCAAGUCCCUCUAUCCCCC